rnacentral:lncRNA from 1 species
AUUGAGUUGAACUUUAUAUUUAAGUUAAACUAAGAAUCAAAUAAUAAAAAUUUAUAUUAUUAUAUAUAUAAUUAAUUAUUUAUAUAUAUAAAUAUAAAAAUAUAUGUAUUCGAGUUAUUAUCUAGCCAAACAUGAGCGAGCUGAUUCCAGCUCGUAUUUUGCUCGUUAAAUAAAUGAACUAAAAAAUUUAGUUCGUAUUCAGCUCGUUAAUUAAACUAACGAUUUGAUCUCGAAUUCAUUUUCGACCGAACGCAAGCUCAAACUGACUCGCGAACAGUACGCUCCUAAACGCACAUACAA